AAAUUGCUUUCUAUUCUAACCUUUUUCUGGUCAAGAAUUGUUUGGCCCAUUACCCCAACACCCGGAAAACCUAUUGAAGUCUUUCAUGCGACCGAUGCCGCUCCAUCUCGACAAGUCCCCAACUCCAUUCACGACACACAAUCCAACCAGUCUGACCAACUCCAUCCGCGACACACAGUCCGACCAACUACAUUCGCGACACAUAACCUUUUCCUGGUCAAGAACCUGAGAUUUAGGCCAGGUUUGGCCCAUUACCCCCAACACCUGGAAAACCUAUUGAAGUCCUUCAUGCGACCGAUGCUCCAUCCGCGACAACGUCCAACCAACUCCAUCUGCGCGACACACAGUCCAACCAACUCCAUUCGCGACACACAGUCCGACCAGUCCACGCGACACACAGUCCAACCAACUCAAUCCGCGACACAAUUGUAAGCAGUAAUGAUUUUUUUCUCUUUAUGUCUUUACCGAUGUCAUCGGCGACGUCAUCGGCGACGUCAAAGAUGGUGUUACGGAAAUGUUAUUUUGUAUGACCAGUUUAUUCAUGUUCGUUUUCCACCAAGAAUGGCUACAUUGCGAUCAUUUUUAACCGAACACUUAUGGGUUUCACCAUUUAAGUCCUUUAUGCGACCGAUGUCGCUCUAUCUUGGACUCAGACGCAGUCCAACCAU